CGCGGCUGCUUCCGGGCCGUGCCGACAGUGCCGCAGAGAUCGCUCUGGCGCCCCCUGGCGGCCACAUGUGGAGCGGUGGGAGCUGCUCCAGUACCUGCUUCUCCGCCUCCCCAUCGCGGCCUUUUCCUUCCCCCAACAGCGCGAGCGUUUAAAAAACAUCGAACGCAUCUGCUGCCUCCUGAGGAAGCUGGUGGUCCCAGAAUACUCCAUCCACGGCCUCUUCUGUCUGAUGUUUCUGUGUGCAGCAGAGUGGGUGACCCUGGGCCUCAACAUCCCCCUCCUCUUCUACCACCUCUGGAGGUACUUCCACCGUCCUGCAGAUGGCUCUGAGGUCAUGUAUGAUGCGGUCUCCAUCAUGAAUGCUGACAUUCUCAACUACUGCCAGAAGGAGUCCUGGUGCAAACUUGCCUUCUACCUGCUCUCCUUCUUCUAUUACCUGUACAGUAUGGUUUAUACGUUGGUGAGUUUCUAAGGGGGAAGCCGGCCAGGGAGCGAGCCCAGAACGGACCGGACGCCUGUGCACCCCCAGCCCUGCCCCUUGGCCGCAGAGGCCUCAGCCCUGGGGAGGGAGGGGGCACUGGUGCCCCCAGCCUCUCCAACCCCCAAACUGCUGCUGCGGGGAACC
rnacentral:sRNA from 1 species